rnacentral:rRNA from 1 species
GACGAACGCUGGCGGCGUGCUUAACACAUGCAAGUCGAACGGAAAGGCCCUGCUUUUGUGGGGUGCUCGAGUGGCGAACGGGUGAGUAACACGUGAGUAACCUGCCCUUGACUUUGGGAUAACUUCAGGAAACUGGGGCUAAUACCGGAUAGGAGCUCCUGCUGCAUGGUGGGGGUUGGAAAGUUUCGGCGGUUGGGGAUGGACUCGCGGCUUAUCAGCUUGUUGGUGGGGUAGUGGCUUACCAAGGCUUUGACGGGUAGCCGGCCUGAGAGGGUGACCGGCCACAUUGGGCCUGAGAUACGGCCCAGACUCCUACGGGAGGCAGCAGUGGGGAAUAUUGCACAAUGGGCGGAAGCCUGAUGCAGCAGCGCCGCGUGCGGGAUGACGGCCUUCGGGUUGUAAACCGCUUUCGCCUGUGACGAAGCGUGAGUGACGGUAAUGGGUAAAGAAGCACCGGCUAACUACGUG